rnacentral:rRNA from 1 species
UACGUAGGGUGCGAGCGUUAAUCGGAAUUACUGGGCGUAAAGUGUGCGCAGGCGGCCGAGCAAGUCGAGUGUGAAAGCCCCGAGCUUAACUUGGGAAUUGCGCUCGAAACUACUUGGCUGGAGUGUGGCAGAGGAAGGUGGAAUUCCAGGUGUAGCGGUGAAAUGCGUAGAGAUCUGGAGGAACACCGAUGGCGAAGGCAGCUCGCUGGAACGGUACUGACGCUGAGGCGCGAAAGCGUGGGGAGCGAACAGG